rnacentral:rRNA from 1 species
GAUGAACGCUGGCGGCGUGCCUAACACAUGCAAGUCGAACGGGACUAUUUGAAAGAUCUUUUCGGAGUGAUUUCUUUUAGUUUAGUGGCGGACGGGUGAGUAACGCGUGGACAACCUGCCUCUCACAGGGGGAUAGCAGCUGGAAACGGCUGGUAAUACCGCAUACGCUCAGAGCACCGCAUGAUGCUCUGAGGAAAGAUUUAUCGGUGAGAGAUGGAUCCGCGUCUGAUUAGCCAGUUGGCGGGGUAACGGCCCACCAAAGCGACGAUCAGUAGCCGGCCUGAGAGGGCGGACGGCCACGAUUGGGACUGAGACACGGCCCAGACUCCUACGGGGGGCAGCAGUGGGGGAUAUUGCACAAUGGGCGCAAGCCUGAUGCAGCGACGCCGCGUGAGUGAAGAAGUAUUUCGGUAUGUAAAGCUCUAUCAGCAGGGAAGAAAGGCCCUUUAAGGGAGAUGACGGUACCUGACUAAGAAGCCCCGGCUAACUACGUG